rnacentral:tRNA from 1 species
GAUCUCGUAGCUCAGCUGGUUUAGAGCAUCACCUUGACAGGGUGGGGGUCGGGGGUUCGAAUCCCUCCGGGAUCA